GACGAACGCUGGCGGCGUGCCUAAUACAUGCAAGUUGAGCGCUGAAGGUUGGUACUUGUACCAACUGGAUGAGCAGCGAACGGGUGAGUAACGCGUGGGGAAUCUGCCUUUGAGCGGGGGACAACAUUUGGAAACGAAUGCUAAUACCGCAUAAAAACUUUAAACACAAGUUUGAAGUUUGAAAGAUGCUAUUGCAUCACUCAAAGAUGAUCCCGCGUUGUAUUAGCUAGUUGGUGAGGUAAAGGCUCACCAAGGCGAUGAUACAUAGCCGCCCUGAGAGGGUGAUCGGCCACAUUGGGACUGAGACCCGGCCCAAACUCCUACGGGAGGCAGCAGUAGGGCAUCUUCGGCAAUAGACGAAAGUCUGACCGAGCAACGCCGCGUGAGUGAAGAAGGUUGUCGGAUCGUAAAACUCUGUUGGUAGAGAAGAACGUUGGUGAGAGUGGAAAGCUCAUAAAGUGACGGUAACUACCCAGAAAGGGACGGCUAACUACGUG
rnacentral:rRNA from 1 species